rnacentral:lncRNA from 1 species
GGUGUACAUACGUUCGAAACCAACACAUUUUAUAGUUUUUUCAAAGACAUUAUCCAUUUGUUUGUUUGUUUUUCUGUUUGUCUGGUAUUUAAGUGUGUUGAUUUCAACCUGAAUUAUUAAUAAGGGUGUAGACUUUUAAUAUCCACUGUAUGUAUUGUGACAAUAUCUGGUCCCUGGCAAUUCACAGCCCUAAUAGGAUCAGGGUGCCAUUUGGGACUCUGUAAAUCAGGAAUGCUCAUUCAGAACUACAACUAAAGUGUGGAUAGGUUUCAGGACUAUAGCUCUAACUGUAGCACCAUGUCCAUAAUAUCUCUGCUAAACUGAAACACAACAAUAUUUAACAUAUUUCUUACCCUGUUCCAAUGAUAAGUUUAUUGUAUUGUGGCAUUGUGAUGAAAUCAGUUGCCCACUUUGGUUUUCUGUUCACAGGUCUUUCGUGCUGUAUUCAAAGACAGCAAUCAUUAAAUGUAAUGUAUGAAUAAACAUUCCCUGAAUAUGACAACGUACGUUAUUAUAAUAGCUGGAAUUCAGUAAAUGAAAACCAUCUGUGAUAUGUUUUAUUGAGUUGGUCAUUUCAACCAUUACUAUGAGCCCUUCCUCCCCAAUUGUCACCCACUGCCUGCGUAGCAUACACAAAAUGUACCAACUUAGUCACACACAAACACAUACAAAGACAGUCUUGUUCUGUUUCAGGGAGAGCUCAGGGCUCCAGUAGUAAACAGACCCAUCUUCACGGAUGGUGACGAUGGUUCCAUCAGGGGUAGAGUGGAUGCGCAGAAUGGGUUCUCCAUGGCACAGGGGCCUGACCGUGGCUGGCAGGGAGAACAUCACCUGUUUGUCACGCCACACUGACUCCUUCUUUGUGUUUUCCAAUUGCAUAAAAAAUGUUUUCCUGACAAAGCGGUUUGAACAGGAAGGGCUACAGCACCUGGUCAAGCUGGAGAAAGUCCUACUCUCUGGUCAAGUUGAUGACGUGGUUGACCUGUAUCCAGAGCUACAGUUCCAGUCCCUAAAGGUGCAGCUGGCCAUGUUCACUGCCAAUUAGACUUACAAAACCUGCUCAGAAGUGACAGAAAUCAUGAGGAACAUGGUUUCCGAGGUCCGUGGUCUCUUCAGUCAAGUUGAGGCACUUCUGCGUUUGUUGCUCAUUGUUCCUGCCUCAUCUGCUGAAGCAGAGAGAAUCUUCAGUGCCUUGAGACGCCUGAAGACCUGGCUGCGCUCUUCAAUGUCACAAACCCGACUCAAUAGUGUGGCUAUUUGUCAUGUUCACAGAGAG